rnacentral:tRNA from 2 species
GCGCCGCUAGCUCAGUUGGUUAGAGCAGCUGACUCUUAAUCAGCGGGUCCGGGGUUCGAGUCCCUGGCGGCGUACCG